AGUGAACGCUGGCGGUAGGCCUAACACAUGCAAGUCGAACGGCAGCACAGGAGAGCUUGCUCUCUGGGUGGCGAGUGGCGGACGGGUGAGGAAUACAUCGGAAUCUACUCUGUCGUGGGGGAUAACGUAGGGAAACUUACGCUAAUACCGCAUACGACCUACGGGUGAAAGCAGGGGACCUUCGGGCCUUGCGCGAUUGAAUGAGCCGAUGUCGGAUUAGCUAGUUGGCGGGGUAAAGGCCCACCAAGGCGACGAUCCGUAGCUGGGCUGAGAGGGUGAACAGCCACACUGGAACUGAGACACGGUCCAGACUCCUACGGGAGGCAGAAGUGGGGAAUAUUGGACAAUGGGCGCAAGCCUGAUCCAGCCAUACCGCGUGGGUGAAGAAGGCCUUCGGGUUGUAAAGCCCUUUUGUUGGGAAAGAAAUCCAGCUGGCUAAUACCCGGUUGGGAUGACGGUACCCAAAGAAUAAGCACCGGCUAACUUCGUGCCAGCCGCCGCCGUAA
rnacentral:rRNA from 1 species